rnacentral:rRNA from 1 species
GGGUUGUGAGGUUAAGCGACUAAGCGUACACGGUGGAUGCCCUGGCAGUCAGAGGCGAUGAAGGGCGUGCUAAUCUGCGAUAAGCGCCGGUAAGGUGAUAUGAACCGUUAUAACCGGCGAUACCCGAAUGGGGAAACCCAGUGUGACUCGUCACACUAUCAUUAACUGAAUCCAUAGGUUAAUGAGGCGAACCGGGGGAACUGAAACAUCUAAGUACCCCGAGGAAAAGAAAUCAACCGAGAUUCCCCCAGUAGCGGCGAGCGAACGGGGAGGAGCCCAGAGCCUGAAUCAGCAUGUGUGUUAGUGGAAGCGUCUGGAAAGGCGCGCGAUACAGGGUGACAGCCCCGUACACAAAAGCGCAUGUGCUGUGAGCUCGAUGAGUAGGGCGGGACACGUGGUAUCCUGUCUGAAUAUGGGGGGACCAUCCUCCAAGGCUAAAUACUCCUGACUGACCGAUAGUGAACCAGUACCGUGAGGGAAAGGCGAAAAGAACCCCGGCGAGGGGAGUGAAAAAGAACCUGAAACCGUGUACGUACAAGCAGUGGGAGCACAGGUUUACCUGUGUGACUGCGUACCUUUUGUAUAAUGGGUCAGCGACUUAUAUUCUGUAGCAAGGUUAACCGAAUAGGGGAGCCGGAGGGAAACCGAGUCUUAAUUGGGCGUUAAGUUGCAGGGUAUAGACCCGAAACCCGGUGAUCUAGCCAUGGGCAGGUUGAAGGUUGGGUAACACUAACUGGAGGACCGAACCGACUAAUGUUGAAAAAUUAGCGGAUGACCUGUGGCUGGGGGUGAAAGGCCAAUCAAACCGGGAGAUAGCUGGUUCUCCCCGAAAGCUAUUUAGGUAGCGCCUCGUGAAUUCAUCUCCGGGGGUAGAGCACUGUUUCGGCUAGGGGGCCAUCCCGGCUUACCAACCCGAUGCAAACUGCGAAUACCGGAGAAUGUUAUCACGGGAGACACACGGCGGGUGCUAACGUCCGUCGUGAAGAGGGAAACAACCCAGACCGCCAGCUAAGGUCCCAAAGUCAUGGUUAAGUGGGAAACGAUGUGGGAAGGCCCAGACAGCCAGGAUGUUGGCUUAGAAGCAGCCAUCAUUUAAAGAAAGCGUAAUAGCUCACUGGUCGAGUCGGCCUGCGCGGAAGAUGUAACGGGGCUAAACCAUGCACCGAAGCUGCGGCAGCGACACUGUGUGUUGUUGGGUAGGGGAGCGUUCUGUAAGCCUGGCUGGAGGUAUCAGAAGUGCGAAUGCUGACAUAAGUAACGAUAAAGCGGGUGAAAAGCCCGCUCGCCGGAAGACCAAGGGUUCCUGUCCAACGUUAAUCGGGGCAGGGUGAGUCGACCCCUAAGGCGAGGCCGAAAGGCGUAGUCGAUGGGAAACGGGUUAAUAUUCCCGUACUUGGUGUUACUGCGAAGGGGGGACGGAGAAGGCUAUGUUGGCCGGGCGACGGUUGUCCCGGUUUAAGCGUGUAGGUGUGUGUUCCAGGUAAAUCCGGUUCACUUUAACACUGAGGCGUGACGACGAGGCACUACGGUGCUGAAGCAACAAAUGCCCUGCUUCCAGGAAAAGCCUCUAAGCAUCAGGUAACAUCAAAUCGUACCCCAAACCGACACAGGUGGUCAGGUAGAGAAUACCAAGGCGCUUGAGAGAACUCGGGUGAAGGAACUAGGCAAAAUGGUGCCGUAACUUCGGGAGAAGGCACGCUGACACGUAGGUGAAGUGAUUUACUCAUGGAGCUGAAGUCAGUCGAAGAUACCAGCUGGCUGCAACUGUUUAUUAAAAACACAGCACUGUGCAAACACGAAAGUGGACGUAUACGGUGUGACGCCUGCCCGGUGCCGGAAGGUUAAUUGAUGGGGUCAGCGCAAGCGAAGCUCCUGAUCGAAGCCCCGGUAAACGGCGGCCGUAACUAUAACGGUCCUAAGGUAGCGAAAUUCCUUGUCGGGUAAGUUCCGACCUGCACGAAUGGCGUAAUGAUGGCCAGGCUGUCUCCACCCGAGACUCAGUGAAAUUGAACUCGCUGUGAAGAUGCAGUGUACCCGCGGCAAGACGGAAAGACCCCGUGAACCUUUACUAUAGCUUGACACUGAACAUUGAGCCUUGAUGUGUAGGAUAGGUGGGAGGCUUUGAAGUGUGGACGCCAGUCUGCAUGGAGCCGACCUUGAAAUACCACCCUUUAAUGUUUGAUGUUCUAACGUGGACCCGUUACCCGGGUUGCGGACAGUGUCUGGUGGGUAGUUUGACUGGGGCGGUCUCCUCCUAAAGAGUAACGGAGGAGCACGAAGGUUGGCUAAUCCUGGUCGGACAUCAGGAGGUUAGUGCAAUGGCAUAAGCCAGCUUGACUGCGAGCGUGACGGCGCGAGCAGGUGCGAAAGCAGGUCAUAGUGAUCCGGUGGUUCUGAAUGGAAGGGCCAUCGCUCAACGGAUAAAAGGUACUCCGGGGAUAACAGGCUGAUACCGCCCAAGAGUUCAUAUCGACGGCGGUGUUUGGCACCUCGAUGUCGGCUCAUCACAUCCUGGGGCUGAAGUAGGUCCCAAGGGUAUGGCUGUUCGCCAUUUAAAGUGGUACGCGAGCUGGGUUUAGAACGUCGUGAGACAGUUCGGUCCCUAUCUGCCGUGGGCGCUGGAGAACUGAGGGGGGCUGCUCCUAGUACGAGAGGACCGGAGUGGACGCAUCACUGGUGUUCGGGUUGUCAUGCCAAUGGCACUGCCCGGUAGCUAAAUGCGGAAGAGAUAAGUGCUGAAAGCAUCUAAGCACGAAACUUGCCCCGAGAUGAGUUCUCCCUGAGACUUUAGGUCUCCUGAAGGAACGUUGAAGACGACGACGUUGAUAGGCCGGGUGUGUAAGCGCAGCGAUGCGUUGAGCUAACCGGUACUAAUGAACCGUGAGGCUUAACCUUACAACGCCGAAG